rnacentral:lncRNA from 1 species
UUCUUCUUCGUUUCUGUCUGUCCUGUCUCUCUCCCUCUCGGAUCUCUCUCAUUUCUCUCCCUCUCUUCAGAUAAUCACGCACGCAUACGCGAAGAAGACCAUCACCAUCAUCAUUAUCGUCCUGCUCUCUCUCCCUCUCGUGCUGCGAACCCAGAAAACGAAAAGGAACUCCGGCGAGAUUUUUCUAAUUUCCCGGUGAGGUAAGCCUUAAAUCUUCCCUCUUUCAUCCUUGAAUCUUGUGGGUUGUGGUUUAAUUGUGUUUUACUUCAUAAAUUUGGAGGUUUUAGGAUGAAUCGAGCUCGGGUGUAGGAACACUCAUUUCCGGCGAACCGUGGGUAUCGGGGGACUCUCCGGCCAUUUUCGGCCGUUCCACGAUGAAAGGAAG